rnacentral:ncRNA from 1 species
CAUUGGUGAGAAUCCAAUACCUUGAAAACCCAACGAUUCCUCCGUAAGGUUCGUCCAUGGAAAGUGAGUCAGGGCUUAAGAUCAAGCCAAAAGGCAUAGUCGAUGGACAACAGGUGAAUAUUCUUAUACUAUCCCUUGUUGGUCCCGAGGGACAGAGGAGGCUAGGUUAGUCAAAAGAUGGUUAUCGGUUCAAGGAUGUAAGGUGCCCCUACUUUUUCAGGGUAAGAAGGGGUAGAGAAAAUUCCCCGAGCCAAUGUUUGAGUACCAGGCGCUACGAUGCUGAAGUAACCCAUGUUAUACUCCCAGGAAAAGCUCAAACGACCUUCAACAAAAGGGUACCUGUACCCGAAACCCCCACAGGUGGGUAGGUAGAGAAUACCUAGGGG